rnacentral:rRNA from 1 species
UUGAAUGGUUUAGUGAGAGCUUCUGACUGGCGCCGAUACUCUGGCAACAGAGCGCCGGAUGCCGGAAAGUUGGUCAAACUUGAUCAUUUAGAGGAAGUAAAAGUCGUAACAAGGUUUCCGUAGGUGAACCUGCGGAAGGAUCAUUACCGAUGAUAUUCGUCCAACAACUACACAGUUGUACCUUGUGAACCGUACCAAACUAUUCAGGGGUCGGCUUGUCCGUUAAAUGGUCGUCGGACGCGAGAGAUCGCGGCCGCUCGACCGGCCCCGCACGCGUUUUGUUUUUUUUAUAAACAUAUGUGUACCUGUCUGACCAAGCGUUGCGGCCGGCCCAAGGGUCGGUCGCGGCAAUUAGAGCAAAAAACGAGAUACAACUUUUGACGGUGGAUCUCUUGGCUCACGCAUCGAUGAAGAACGCAGCCAGCUGCGAUAAGCCAGGAGCAUGUCUGUCUGAGUGUCGGAUAUCAUCCAACGCACGCCAGCGUGCGGAAUUGAGGCGUCACGGUCCGUACUGCACGGACCGUGUCCCUUGAAAGUCAGAGAGACUCGCCGCGUCGCGGGAAGAUUCCCCGUGCACACCAGCGGAGGCUAAAAUGUCUUUUGCCCUUCGCGUGCCGGGAAGUCGCCGCGUGCGGCGGUCGUCGUCGGGCGAACUUUAAUUAUCUUGACCUCAGAUCAGGCAAGGCUACCCGCUGAAUUUAAGCAUAUUAAUAAGCGGAGGAAAAGAAACUAACAAGGAUUCCCUCAGUAACGGCGAGUGAAGCGGGACCAGCUCAAAUUUGAAAUCUCCGAUGCCUGCAUCGGCGAGUUGUAGUUGCGAGAAGCACUUUCUAGGUGGAUCGGUCGUGCCUAAGUUGCUUGGAACAGCACGUCGCAGAGGGUGACAACCCG